UGGGGAAUAUUGGACAAUGGGCGCAAGCCUGAUCCAGCCAUGCCGCGUGUGUGAAGAAGGCCUUUUGGUUGUAAAGCACUUUAAGCGAGGAGGAGGCUACUUGGAUUAAUACUCUAGGAUAGUGGACGUUACUCGCAGAAUAAGCACCGGCUAACUCUGUGCCAGCAGCCGCGGUAAUACAGAGGGUGCGAGCGUUAAUCGGAUUUACUGGGCGUAAAGCGUGCGUAGGCGGCUUUUUAAGUCGGAUGUGAAAUCCCUGAGCUUAACUUAGGAAUUGCAUUCGAUACUGGGAAGCUAGAGUAUGGGAGAGGAUGGUAGAAUCCCAGGUGUAGCGGUGAAAUGCGUAGAGAUCUGGAGGAAUACCGAUGGCGAAGGCAGCCAUCUGGCCUAAUACUGACGCUGAGGUACGAAAGCAUGGGGAGCAAACAGG
rnacentral:rRNA from 1 species